rnacentral:lncRNA from 1 species
CUGAGAUGUUUGAUUUGUCUUCCUGUUAGAUCCUUUCAUUCAAGUUAGUAGUUUCCUCAGGUUGGCUGAUCUUUAUUUCUGCUUUUAAUAUUCUGUAUUGAUUUUAUUGUAGUGCACUUACAUGCUGUUCAACAGUCCCCUAUUACUGUAAAUAAAAUGAGAUAAAUAACUUGGCUUUCUUUCUGCAUUUAAAAUCUUUGGCAGCAGCCAUCUCCACCCCUAACUGGGCCUGUGACAGGGCUACUGCCAGUAUCUGUGAGGGCAGCUCCUGAGGCGCACAUGCCCCUCACAUGUCGCUCGUAUCCAUGCUAGGGAGAUAAAGCUAGCUUGGCGUUUGCUGAUAUUAGUGGCUCAGUUUAUCUAGCAAGGGUAGGUACCAGGAGCGCCUGUGGGAUGUGCAGUUGGGGGCAGCUGCCCUCUUAGUCACUGGCAGUAAUAGCAGUGUUAUACAUGCAUCUAUGACCAGACAAGAUAUUACUUAUCUGCAGUACAUGUGAAAGUCAGCAAGGCUCCUGUUUUCAGAUCAGACUAUAUUCUCAGAUUAAUGCCGGAUGUGAAAACAAUACAUUAGAGAAAACUCAUCAUGGUCUUCUGUUAGUCACAGAACAUUGAUUUUGAACUACGCAGGUUUCUUAUUGAAGGAAAUAG